UUUUGAUACAUUUUUAAUUGUUUUUUAAAAUAAUUUUAAUUUAAACAUUUUUUAUUUUAAUUUUACAUUUUUAUUAUUUAUUAAUUAUUGGUUGGCUUUAUUUUGGUUUUUAUUUUUAAAUUAUCUACUUAUUUUUUUUUUUAAUAAUUUAAUUCAUUUUUAGCUUUACGUCAGCUCCCAAAUCUCAGUUUAGACUACAGUUAGUGUUACUGUAAAUAUUGAGGUAUAAGUCAACAUGAAACCACGUUUCUAGCAUAUUAAACUUCUGUAAAGUGAAAUAUUUCCUACAGUAAAUCAAACGAGAUGUUCAGGCAUGAAUAAAGAUCCAGGCUUUAUCCGUCAGGAUUGAACUGGAUCAUGAAAUGUUAAUCGGUUAUAUAAUUGGUUAAUAUGAUUUUUAACAUUUUCAGUCUCUGUUACAUUAGCACUUCAGAUGCGAUGUCCUCUGCAUGGCAUUACUCUGUGUGUGUGUGUGUGUGUGUGUGUGUGUGUGUGUGUGUGUGUGUGAUUUCACUGAUUUCUCUCUGCAGCUGCCUGUGAUUUUGGUGCUGAUUGUACAUCUGUGUGUGUGUGUUUGGUGCAGACGGAGCUGGAGCUGCAGCAGACCGAGAGACAGAGAGAUGAACACCUGCUUCCCAGCAUGCAAAGCUGCAGCACACAGACAGAGCAGACGAGAGAGCAGGAGGAGGAGGAGGAGGAGGAGGAGGUCAGAGGUCAGGGAAGAGCUGUGACGGAGGGCCCAGAGCUCUCGUGUGAUGUCGUCACCACAGAGAGGGAUGUGCUGCGUCAGGCGAACGCUCGUCUGCGUCAGGCGCUGGUCGAUGUGCUGAAGACGACGGCGGCGGCGGAGGAGACCAUCGGCCGUCAUGUGCAGGGCAUCCUGGAGGCGUCCAGUGAGGGUCGUCUGAGAUCGUUCUGGCAGAAGGAGACAGGUCAGACACACACUACUCCUCUCUCUCACUCUAUAAAUCAUCUGAAAUCAUCAGGGGUUCUUCUGUGAAGUGCCUGUGUUCAGCUCAAGUGUUGAGAUGUGCUUUAGAAUCGUUUAAAGACGGACGUGACAUCCCGUGUGUGUCGAGUUAAUAACAGUUAAGUGCUGCGCAGUGAAGCCGCAUCAGAUCCUGUCCGUCUUGUUGGUCCUUUCCUGUUGACUCACUGUCUUUGCAUAGAGCUGUGUACCGUGGAGGUGAGGUCAUGUGACCUGCGGAUGGGCGUGUUCACUGAUGAU
ensembl:lncRNA